CUACGGGAGGCUGCAGUGAGGAAUAUUGCACAAUGGGGGAAACCCUGAUGCAGCAACGCCGCGUGGAGGAUGACGCAUUUCGGUGUGUAAACUCCUUUUAUGAGUCAAGAAAAUGACGGUAGCUCAUGAAUAAGCACCGGCUAACUCCGUGCCAGCAGCCGCGGUAAUACGGAGGGUGCAAGCGUUACUCGGAAUCACUGGGCGUAAAGGACGCGUAGGCGGGUUGUCAAGUCAGGUGUGAAAUCCUACAGCUUAACUGUAGAACUGCACUUGAAACUGGCAACCUAGAGUAUGGGAGGGGGAGAUGGAAUUAGUGGUGUAGGGGUAAAAUCCGUAGAUAUCACUAGGAAUACCGAAAGCGAAGGCGAUCUCCUGGAACAUUACUGACGCUAAGGCGUGAAAGCGUGGGGAGCAAACAGGAUUAGAUACCCCAGUAGUC
rnacentral:rRNA from 1 species